rnacentral:siRNA from 1 species
UUGUUUAUUCAGGUGGCAUUU